AAAUGUGUGAUUUUGGGGAUAAUGGGGUAUUUUUGAAGAGAUGAAGCAUGAUUUUGGGGUAAAUGCGGGAUUUUGCAAGAGAAAACGCAUGAUUUUUGAGUUAAAUGGGGGAUUUUCUAAGAGAAACUGCAUGAUUUUGGGGUAAAUGCGGGAUUUUCCAAGAGAAAAGGCGAGAUUUUUGAGUGAAAUGGGGGAUUUUCCAAGAGAUAAUGCGUGAUUUUGGGGUUAAAAGGGGAUUUCUGAGGAGGAAAUGUGUGAUUCUUGGGAUAAUGGGGUAUUUUUGGAGAGAAAAUGCGUGAUUUGGGGGGUAAAUGCGGGACUUUGCAAGAGAAAAUGCAUGAUUUGGGGUUUAAAUGGGGGAUUUUCCAAGAGAAAAUGCAUGCUUUGGGGGUUAAAGGGGGAUUUCUGAGGAGAAAAUGUGUGAUUCUUGGGAUAAUGGGGUAUUUUUUGAAGAGAAAAUGCAUGAUUUGGGGGUAAAUGAGUAUUUUCCAAGAGAAAGGGCGAGAUUUUUGUGUGAAAUGGGGGAUAUUCCAAGAGAAAUUGCGUGAUUUGGGGGUUAAAUGGAGGAUUGUUGAAGAGACAAAGCAUGAUUUUGGGGUGAAGGGGGGGAUUUUUGAAGAGAAAACACGUAAUUUUUGGUUUAAACAGCUAUUUUUGAAG
rnacentral:lncRNA from 1 species